rnacentral:rRNA from 1 species
GACGAACGCUGGCGGCGUGCUUAACACAUGCAAGUCGAACGGAAAGGCCCUGCUUUUGUGGGGUGCUCGAGUGGCGAACGGGUGAGUAACACGUGAGUAACCUACCCUUGAGUUUGGGAUAACUUCAGGAAACUGGGGCUAAUACCGGAUAGGAGCUCCUGCUGCAUGGUUGGGGUUGGAAAGUUUCGGCGGUUGGGGAUGGACUCGCGGCUUAUCAGCUUGUUGGUGGGGUAGUGGCUUACCAAGGCUUUGACGGGUAGCCGGCCUGAGAGGGUGACCGGCCACAUUGGGACUGAGAUACGGCCCAGACUCGUACGGGAGGCAGCAGUGGGGAAUAUUGCACAAUGGGCGGAAGCCUGAUGCAGCAACGCCGCGUGCGGGAUGACGGCCUGCGGGUUGUAAACCGCUUUCGCCUGUGACGAAGCGUGAGUGACGGUAAUGGGUAAAGAAGCACCGGCUAACUACGUG